GCAUGUGGUUCAGUGGUAGAGUGUUUGCCUAGCAUAUAUGAGGCCCUGGGUUCACAUUCCCAGCUCUGCA
rnacentral:tRNA from 1 species